rfam:Pseudomonas putida KT2440 complete genome.
GGCCGGGGCCUCGUCUUGACUGGGUGCAAGAUCCUCUUUAGACUUUUGUACCCUUAAAUUUGGUGAGGCUCCGUCUCGCCAAUUUUUGGCUUUCUUGCAAGACAAUAGAGUCGCAAGACAAUCAGUGGAGCUAGUAGA